rnacentral:rRNA from 1 species
AUUGAACGCUGGCGGCAGGCUUAACACAUGCAAGUCGAGCGAGCGGCGGACGGGUGAGUAAGGUCUGGGAAACUGCCUGAUGGAGGGGGAUAGCUACUGGAAACGGUAGCUAAUACAGCAUACCAUCAGAUGUGCCCAGAUGGGAUUAGCUAGUAGGUGGGGUAAGGGCUCACCUAGGCGACGGUCCCUAGCUGGUCUGAGAGGACGACCAGCCACACUGGAACUGAGACACGGUCCAGACCCGUACGGGAGGACGCAGUGGGGAAUAUUGCACAAUGGGCGCAAGCCGGAUGCAGCCAUGCCGCGUGUGGUAAGAAGGCCUUCGGGUUUUAAAGCACUUUCAGCGAGGAGGCGUUACUCGCAGAAGAAGCACCGGCUAACUCCGUGCCAGCAGCCGCGGUAAUAC